GAAAUAGAACCUGAAACCCUGUGCUUACAAGCACCGAGAGCCCGUCAAUGGGUGAUCGGGUACUUUUUGUAGAACGGUCCGGCGAGUAUAUGGAACAAGCAAGGUUAAGGUCUUCAGGACCGAAGCCGAAGGGAAACCAAGUCUUAAUAGGGCGCACAGUUUGUUUCAUAUGACCCGAAACCGGGUGACCUAUCCAUGUCCAGGUUGAAGUGGCGGUAAAACGCCAUGGAGGACCGAACCAACCCCCGUUGAAAAGGUGGUGGAUGAGGUGUGGAUAGCGGAGAAAUUCCAAUCGAACUCGGAUAUAGCUGGUUCUCCCCGAAAUAGCUUUAGGGCUAGCGUUGUGUUAGAUUACCGGAGGUAAAGCACUGAAUAGGCUAGGGGGCGAGAGUCUACCGACCCUUAUCAAACUCUGAAUGCCGGAUAAUUGAUGCACAGCAGUCAGACAGUGUGAGAUAAGUUUCAUUGUCAAAAGGGAAACAGCCCAGACCCACAGCUAAGGUCCCAAAUGUAUGUUAAGUGGAAAAGGAUGUCCAGUUGCACAAACAACCAGGAUGUUGGCUUAGAAGCAGCCACACAUUCAAAGAGUGCGUAACAGCUCACUGGUCGAGUGACCGGGCGCCGAAAAUGUAACGGGGCUAAACAUACAACCGAAGCUUGGGCUGCACAGCAAUGUGCGGGGUAGGGGAGCGUUGUGUGCGGGGAGAAGCACGAGCGGAAGCGCGUGUGGACUGCACAGAAGUGAGAAUGCCGGAAUGAGUAGCGCGAAUUAUGUGAGAAUCAUAAUGGCCGAAAGCCUAAGGUUUCUGGAGGAAGGUUCGUCCGCUCCAGGUUAGCCGGGAGCUAAGGUGAGGCCGAAAGGCGUAGCCGAUGCACAUACGGUGGAGAUUCCGUAGCCAUCAAAAGAUUUAAGCAGAGGGACACAGUAGAAGGGUACAUGCCGGGCGUUGGUAGCCCCGGUUGCAAGGGACCGAAAUUAGAGUAGGGAAGAUGGACUUGGAUACUGGCGAGAAAAGCUCUGUGGAUAUCUGCGAUGCCCGUACCGCAAACCGACACAGGUAGGUAGGAAGAGGAUUCUAAGGCCAACGGGAGAAGGGUUGUUAAGGAACUCGGCAAGUUGACCCCGUAACUUCGGGAGAAGGGGUGCUCUGGAAACAGAGCCGCAGAGAAUAGGUCCAGGCAACUGUUUAGCAAAAACACAGCUCUCUGCUAAAUCGAAAGAUGAUGUAUAGGGGGUGACGCCUGCCCGGUGCUGGAAGGUUAAGAGGAGGAGUGAGAGCCCCGAAUCGAAGCCCCAGUAAACGGCGGCCGUAACUAUAACGGUCCUAAGGUAGCGAAAUUCCUUGUCAGGUAAGUUCUGACCCGCACGAAAGGCGU
rnacentral:rRNA from 1 species